rnacentral:rRNA from 1 species
UACGAAGGGGGCUAGCGUUGCUCGGAAUUACUGGGCGUAAAGCGCACGUAGGCGGCUCUUUAAGUCGGAGGUGAAAUCCUGGAGCUCAACUCCAGAACUGCCUUCGAUACUGUAGAGCUUGAGUUCGGGAGAGGUGAGUGGAACUGCGAGUGUAGAGGUGAAAUUCGUAGAUAUUCGCAAGAACACCAGUGGCGAAGGCGGCUCACUGGCCCGAUACUGACGCUGAGGUGCGAAAGCGUGGGGAGCAAACGGG